rnacentral:rRNA from 1 species
CUACGGGCUGCUGCAGUGGGGGAUAUUGCACAAUGGGCGAAAGCCUGAUGCAGCAACGCCGCGUGAAGGAAGACGGUUUUCGGAUUGUAAACUUCUAUCAGCUGGGAAGAAAAUGACGGUACCAGACUAAGAAGCCCCGGCUAACUAUGUGCCAGCAGCCGCGGUAAUACAUAGGGGGCAAGCGUUAUCCGGAAUUACUGGGUGUAAAGGGUACGUAGGCGGCUGAUCAAGUCAGAUGUGAAAGCCCGGAGCUCAACUCCGGGAUUGCAUUUGAAACUGGUCGGCUAGAGUGCAGGAGAGGAAAGUGGAAUUCCUAGUGUAGCGGUGAAAUGCGUAGAUAUUAGGAAGAACACCAGUGGCGAAGGCGGCUUUCUGGACUGUAACUGACGCUGAGGUACGAAAGCGUGGGGAGCGAACAGGAUUAGAUACCCUUGUAGUC